ACUACGGGGGGCAGCCGUGGGGAAUCUUGCACAAUGGGGGAAACCCUGAUGCAGCGACGCCGCGUGAGUGAAGAAGUAAUUCGUUAUGUCAAGCUCUAUCAGCAGGGAAGAAAAUGACGGUAACUGAGUAAGAAGCCCCGGCUAACUACGUUCCAGCAGCCGCGGUAAUACGUAGGGGGCAAGAGUUAUCCGGAUUUACGGGGGGUAAAGUGAGCGUAGACGGCUGUGUAAGUCUGAAGUGAAAGGCCAGGGCUCAACCCUGGGACUGCUUUGGAAACUGUGGAGCGAGAGUGCUGGAGAGGUAAGGGGAAUUCCUAGUGUAGCGGUGAAAUGCGUAGAUAUUAGGAGGAACACCAGUGGCGAAGGCGGCUUACUGGACAGUAACUGACGUUGAGGCUCGAAAGCGUGGGGAGCAAACAGGAUUAGAUACCCCAGUAGUC
rnacentral:rRNA from 1 species